rnacentral:other from 1 species
AAUUUUCUGAGGUAUUCGUCAGCUUCAAUUUUGAACCUACAUUAUAAAAACGGGAGAUUUAUAUUUAAUUACGGAUUCCGGGCUCUACAACCGAGGAGAGGGAAGAAGUAAUUGUGCGAUCACCCACCUAUCGAGAGAUAGGUGUCAAAACUGAGGCAACGGUGUCUUGGAUACAAG